UGUUUCAUCCUCUUUUUUCGGGAUUCUUCUCAGUUCAUAAUUGCCUGAUUUGUGUUAUCUCGGAUUAAUGUACAGAGCUGCUGCUGAUAUGAAGCUAUGAGGGAUUAUGAAUGUUUCAGAUAGGUAAAUUGAAUGUUGAAAGGGUGUGUGUUUUUUACAAAAGAAAAAAAGACAAAAUAUACCUGAAGGAUGUUUGUACUAGUCAUAGUAAGUGGUAUAUGGAAUAUGUCAGCUGACUGAUAAAUCAAAUAAAUGUAUAAGGGCUUUGCAAGUAUUUAUAAACAUAUUAACUCUCAUGUUUACAUUAUCAAGUGUGGAAAAAAUUCCCUUCAACUGUGGGAAAUUCCUUGUGUCAAGUUAUUUUUAUAAGAUUGAAAUUAAGCACUGUGUAUGGAUUUUUCAGCUCAGCUAUUAUAAAUGUUGAAUAAAAGAAAACAAUAAAUUUGAUGAUGUAUAGAAAAAAAACUAUCCCUUUUUUAAAAACUUUUUUAAAAAGUUUAUUGAUUGUUUUUUAUAACUAAAAAAUUAUAGUGCACCAUAUUGUAAAUAAAAGACUCAUGAUUCUCACUCACUGCCUGUCAGUAGGAGCACACAUGAACAAAAGGUUAAAGAUAAUUUACAAAUAUAUAACUGCUAUAUUAAAAUUUAUCUGUGUUUAAUAUUUUCUUUCCAUGAAAGUAUUUUUAUAAUUCGUCAUAUAGUCUUGGUGACUUUUUAGCUGUUAGCUUCUCAGAUUCAUUCACCUGGCAUUUUAUUGUACUUCCGUCGACACUUCGUUGGAUUGAACAGCGGAUUUUCAAAUUGUGAUAAAUCAACAUCAUUCUGUUCAAGAUAUUCUCUGACUAUCAUGUUACCCAAAGGACCUGUUAUACCACGUUCUCGAGCAAGAUGAGAGAGAUUCAUCUGAAAUAUAAUACAUGAGUGUGAGCAAAUUUUGGUAUAUACAUCUUAUUUUGCUUGCUUGUAGAAACUUUUGCGAGAGAAACUAUUUUGUUUUGUUAUGAGUUUUGACAAUUGAGAAGUUGAGGUAUUUCAAUUAUAUACGUACUUUUUCACCAGCCUUCAUAUUUUCUACUUCAUCUAAUAGACCUUUUUUGUCAAAUUCAACCUUUGAAGGGUCAGGUGAAUGUCGUUUUCGUUUUCCGUGAGAUACGUUUUCAUCAUCAGGUGAAGAGAAUUUUUCUAAAAGUUAAUUGUUUAUUUUUUUAAAAAAAUUGAGAAAUUGAUUUUGUGAAACAAAGUGAAAAGAACAUGACACAAUUGAAUUACUGGAUAUUUUAUCAGGAGAAGUUUUUACUGCAUGUGGCCGUUGUCAAAAAUGAUCAAAAAAAUUUCUCCUAAUAAAUUAGCCAAAACAGGUUCUUAUACCUUUCAAAGUUCUGGCCACAGCAGAUGACUUUUUUUCAAAGUGCAUGCUUGCUCUGCUUUUCAUAUAACAAGCUUUUGACUGACGUGUACCAAAUACAGUUUUAACAUCAAGACUUUUUUUUGCCAUGAUGUUUCAAUUGCAUUUUUUUA